CUCCCUUAAGAAUCAAGUUUCUGGGACAAGAGUCCAAAGAGUAGUUGGAAAAGCAGUCUCUUUCCUUAGGAAUUAUUAACAUUCUGUGUUUUCACUAGUAUAUUAAUUAUUAUAGCUGUUUUCUUGUCUGUAACCAGGCAUUCACUACUGGACUAAAAAUGGCUAUGGAAUUUGCUUUAGGAAGGACCAGCUGAAGCAGCUGUCCAUUAACGUCACUAUCCAACAAAUCGUACACUUGGGACAUCUGAUGGUGAAGAAAAAUAAUAUUUAGAAAGUUCAACUUGCUUCAUACUACUCAAGUGAAAUUUUAAUGGGAACUUGUCUGUUGUCUCGGCUUGUUCAUGUCUGGGCAUAAGGCAGAAACUGGAAAAGUGGAGAGAGAGAAUAUCUCAGCAGUUGUUGGAUAAUUGAUUGAAAGAGGAAGUGGAUUAAUAUAGUGGCAGAAGACCUGCCCAGCUACUAGGCAAAGCAAUGGGAUACCAAAUAUGAAAAUUAAAAAAGGGAUCACAGAGGAAAAGAGCUACCUCUGUCUGGGGAAACACCAACGGGAUCUAAGAUCAAGAGACAGACUUUCUCUAUUUUGACCAGGUUGGUCUUGAACUCUUUGGCUCAAGUGAUCCACCUGCCUCAGGCUCUCAAGUGCUGGGAUUACAGCUGCACACCACCAUGCCCAGGCCAUCGGACUUCAUCUUUAUGACACCAGGAGGGAACUGAAGAAUUUCAAUUAUGUGUGUACCGCAAAAUCAUAUAUAUGAAUAUUUAUAAAUGAUUCCCUCUGGCUACUGAGAAGAAAAUAAAGUGUUGAAAGCUGUAAUAGGUAAGAGAUAU
rnacentral:lncRNA from 13 species